UACAAACUUUGGUGCAGUACUCGAUGGAA
rnacentral:sRNA from 1 species